AUUGUUUAAUUAAAUAUUGACAAAUGAAGUAUAAUAAAUGGCAAUUUAGGUGAAUUUAUUGAGGGCUGCAGUUGGUAAAUUAACGGAAUUAAAUCAACAAAUUUUGUAAAAUUCUUUGAAAUAUUAAAGACACUCAAGAUCAACAAGUAUUGCCUUAUAGUAUCAGAUCUUAUUCAAAUCAAUGACCAACAUUUUCUCUUGUUAGAGUCAGACAAACAUUGCAAGUUAAUCGUCAAAUUACUAAUCUUUUUCUUCUGUUCAAUUGUGACAAUCAGUGGUUUCAAUUAUUUCAUAUUGCUGAUUAUUAACUAAUUCUUCAAGGAAUGGUUUGGGCAAAAGAUGAAGCAAGUGGUGCAAACAAAUCUCAUUACUUUACAUAAUUCAAUUAGGAUGUUCUAAUGGAAAUGAUGGUGAAUCUAGCAAAAUGGAGAUGUAUUUACGUGUGGCCAACCAUGUGCUUCUCUUACCAAGCUGGACAGAUUAUUUGUGUUUAACAGUUAUGCUGAGCUGGGUAUUUGUUAAUUAGUCAAUCAUAAUUGUUGGUAGUAACCUGGUCAAUGUUGUGCUGCUAAUUGGCAUUCAAAUACUUUAACUGUUGAUCCUCAAAGCAUCUUUACAUUUUCAGGCUUACCUUACUAUUCAGAUGAUAUUCUAUUUCUGUUGUCUGAUUGUUUUCUGAUUCCCAUUCUGAUGUAAAAGACCAAGCAGCAAGGAGAGCAAAAAGGAGAUGGUGAUGAUGAUGAAAAAAACUUAAUCUUGUAUUUAUCGUGUACAUAAAUUUUCCAAAAAUGUAGUCACUUAUCCAUCAAGCAACGUUUCAUUUGAAAACAAAAAAAGUUGCCAACUCAGCAAACUUUUGUCAAAAUUUGUUGAAAAAGAUUGUAUAAAGCGAAGGAAAAAGACCCGACUGACAAAAAGAGAGACAAAUGCCAAUAAAAAUGCAUUCAAAACAAAAAAACACUCACUAAAAUAUAUUUAUAAUUUGGAUAAAUGUUACAAAAAAUUUCAGCAAUUUCCUCUCCUUUUUGUCUUUGGUUUUCUCAAUGAAGGAGUCUUGAAUGAAUGUCAAGAUCCAUGGUGACUCGCCAACAGCAAACACAAAGAACCUCAUCCGCAACUAAAGCCACAAAAAUCUAAAUGCAAAGGAGAAAAGGGUUUUCCUAGUCAGAUGAAGCAGCAUGAAGAAGUGGAACCAGUUACUUCCAAAAAACAAUGGAUCUCUUUGUUGGUGAAUCUCUUUUUUCAACUACUCUUUAAGGAAUCAACAAGAAACUCGAUAUCAACAAAUUUCGUUUUAAUGGUUCAAUAUUCCUUCAUCAAUCCAACCUGACAAACAUCAACAAAUACCAUGAAGCGUCCGAAUCUGUUUAACCCUUGAAUGACUAUUAUUGAAGUUCAAUCUUGGCAAUGGAUAAAAUUGAUCCAAUCAAUCUAAUUUUAUGGAUUAUCGAAAAUUACAAGUGCUGGAUAAACGAUUACAGAAAAGGCAAUUAAAUCAAAGUGUUGACUCCUAACCUGCAAAAGUAACAAAAUUGAUUCGAAAUUUGGCUUUCAAUUCCAAAAAUUCAAUUUCGGUUCUCCUGACUCAAACAAGGUCUCUGUAUUUCUGUACCGCUGAUGAAGUAGUCGCUCAAAAGGAUGGCUCGCUCACAUCAAUCAAAAGGAAGGAAGGAAUCAAAUUUCAAAUUUCCAUGUUUCUUUUAUUUGGUUGAAAUCGAAAGGGAACAAUUUAAUACAAACCUUCGAGAUUCCUCUUCCUUUGGUAUUUCUUUCAAGUUAUAGUGAUUAAUUUACUUAUUAAGUCAGUAGGACUCUGAUCCGAGCUUUACUGGCACUUGUGUUUUGUAUAUCCAAUAUUGUUAUAAGAUUAAUCUCCGUCAACAUUUAAACUAUAUGAUGUUUGUUUGCUGCCAACCAAACGAUUAACACUCAUCUCAUCAGCAAAUCAUGUUAUGCAAACAGUAAAGUAAAAAACCUGGCAGCAUCUUGCAUCACCGUCAUCACUAUGAUCAUCAUUAUCAUCUUCAUCAUCACCAGCAACAUGAACAACUUACAUUGAACAAGAAAAAGAUAACAUUUUAACAAUAUUAUUUCCUUUCUCCACCAACCUGUCAAAUCAGCGCCAAUCAUAAUUUUGAACUCUACUCAAAAUUUAAACAGUGUUAACAUUUACCUCAAUUUAACUCAAUUUAAAUUCCAAUUCAGUACCUGUUGUAACAAUAUUAACCAAAUGGAUAUGAUGGCAAAUGAAAUUGAUUAAACGAAAGCAAACAAAAAUCAAA